rnacentral:rRNA from 1 species
UACAGAGGUCCCAAGCGUUGUUCGGAAUCACUGGGCGUAAAGGGCGCGUAGGCGGCCCGCACAAGUCUGCGGUGAAAACCCCCGGCUUAACCGGGGCCGGCCGUGGAAACUGUCGGGCUGGAGGCUGGGAGAGGGCAGCGGAAUUCCCGGUGUAGCGGUGAAAUGCGCAGAAUAUCGGGAAGAACACCUAUGGGCGAAGGCAGCUCUCUGGGACGGUACUGACGGCUGAGACGCGAAAGCGUGGGGAGCGAACAGG